rnacentral:tRNA from 1 species
GAUUGCUUAGUUUAUAUUAAAACAAAUGUUUUGAAAACAUUAAAAAAGAUAAAAAUCUUAGUAAUCG